rnacentral:rRNA from 1 species
AAAUAGAUACCCCCGGUAGUCCACGCCGUAAAUGAUGAGUGCUAAGUGUUAGAGGGUUUCCGCCCUUUAGUGCUGCAGCUAACGCAUUAAGCACUCCGCCUGGGGAGUACGACCGCAAGGUUGAAACUCAAAGGAAUUGACGGGGGCCCGCACAAGCGGUGGAGCAUGUGGUUUAAUUCGAAGCAACGCGAAGAACCUUACCAGGUCUUGACAUCCUCUGACCUCCCUAGAGAUAGGGCCUUCCCCUUCGGGGGACAGAGUGACAGGUGGUGCAUGGUUGUCGUCAGCUCGUGUCGUGAGAUGUUGGGUUAAGUCCCGCAACGAGCGCAACCCUUGACCUUAGUUGCCAGCAUUCAGUUGGGCACUCUAAGGUGACUGCCGGUGACAAACCGGAGGAAGGUGGGGAUGGACGUCAAAUCAUCAUGCCCCUUAUGACCUGGGCUACACACGUGCUACAAUGGAUGGUACAAAGGGCUGCGAGACCGCGAGGUUAAGCCAAUCCCAUAAAACCAUUCUCAGUUCGGAUUGCAGGCUG